rnacentral:lncRNA from 1 species
GUGAGACCAGGACAAUGGAUUACAUUAGAGAAGGAAAAUGUGAAGACUGAAAAUGCUUCUCUGAUGAGAAAGCAGCCAUCUAGAUCCCACGAGCUCAUGUUACCGUAAUAUUUACUAAUAGGACUCUGACAAUGCCUGGCGCAUAACAGCUCCUGGUAGACAGGGUCACUGACAGGUGUCACAAGUCUGGUGGCUUACAGGCAUGACACAACAGGAACAUUCGAAGCAGGAGUGGAGGAGAAAACGGCAGAUCUGUCCGCUGUGAUGACGGGAUUACCUAACUCGGUGACCAGACACCUUGGUGUCCCUCCCUUUACGUCUCUCCAGCUCGCUGUCUACCAGCCUCUCCCAAGUCUACCAUUGUUUUUACAUGGAGGAUGAACUGGAAGUGCCAAGAAAAAUAACAGAGAAUCUUUGGAAGGAGACAGAAACUGAAUUAAACGAGGCUCCAUUCUGAAGAUGUUCUCAGCUCUCAGAUCCCACAAUCACAAAGCGUCCAAAGAGAAAAGACAACUGGUCGAGGAUGGACUUCACUCUCCCAGUACUUAUAACAAAGAGCUCAGACUCUCCUCUUACUGGUACUUCAUCGUAUUAGAGCAAGUGACUCUGUAGACGUGCUCUGUUCACCUGCUUUCCCUCCUUGCUUCAACUCACUCCCCAUCACCUAUGCACAUCCACUUCCCACAGCAGGAUGCAGUCAAGGACCACAUAAAGGAAAAUUUCUACUUGAAUUUGCCAGAAGUGGAGCGGUUCUAAAGUUCAACACAAAUGCUGGGCUGGAAGCCGUCCUGAUAACAUAGGUGUU